rnacentral:misc_RNA from 1 species
UUUCCGUAGGUGAACCGGCGGAAGGAUCAUUAAUGAGUUGUCAUGGGGUUCGAUGCUGGCAGCCAAUUUUUGGAUGCAUGUGCUUGCCCUAACAAUCAUCUUCCAAACACCUGUGCACAUUUUUGAGGGAGUCUUGAGUUGGUUGCCGCUCUUGGGUGAUUUUCUCACAUUCCCUUAAAUCAUUAUACGCUAUUAACAAUGUUGAACGUGCUCUGUGCCGCAAGGCUAUUAAUAUAAUACAACUUUUAACAACGGAUCUCUUGGCUCUC